AGGCUUCCUGUAUGAGACACUGAUUAUUGAGCUAAGGACUGGCUGUAGCCUAGACAGUCUUCCAGCCUGGACGGAGGCCUCCUGAGCAACUCAGAGUGAAUGUGUUUUCAGAGUUAAGUACCAGGUCAUCGGGAGGUCUCUACUUUGAAAGUGGGGAAACUGAGUCUCAAGCUCGGGGACAUCAAUAGUCAGGAAGCUCAGAUCCACAGAGAGAAGCUGGCUUCUGCCCGAGUUCCAUACUCCUCUAGGCUUCUCCAUCGGCCACAUGGCACGUUCAGAAUCUCUGGGGUUGAGACUUCUCCAAAAACUUCUGCAGGAUCCUGGUGGGAAGCUCUCUCCUCUCUCUGCGUCAGCUUCCUGGGGGACCCACCGUUCCUUCCAGCCCAGAGCGGCAUCACUGUCUACACAUCACAAGCCUGGGUUGGUGUCGAGUGUCUCUGACUUUGGAGUCUCGAGCCCCGGACUUAGUUUUAUGGGCUUUGGCUGUCGAGGGCAGCCGACGACUCCAUCCAUCAACCGGGGACUGCUCUAACACUAAUGGUGAAUUUAUAGAAGUGGUUAAACAAAGUGUUGACAAUGCGGACGGUGUGUUUCUGAUUAACACACGAUUCCGAGGGAAGCUGCCAUCCGAGGGGGGAGUCAGUAAAACACAGCAGUGAAUUCCCAGGCCCCGGAGACUCCGACUAGACUGGAUCACCAGAGGUUGCGCAAGGAGAUCAUGAGUCUGAGGCUGCUGUGGGGACUCUUGUACAAACCCAGAGCCACCCCUCCCUUCCCCCCCUUUUUUUUUCUUGAGAGAUUACAUCUGAGUUCUCUCUUCCAGCCUUAAGCGUUUCCAUUAGAAAAUUCUGUCAGCUCCCAUGGUGUUCUCUCCAAACCCUGUCCUCAGACCAACCCCUCUCCCAAGGUGACCUGAAACACGGUGGAGCACUUAGCUGCUUUCUGGGUGCUGAUGGCUUUCUUAAAUCAUCUCUAGUCAUUAAGAGAACGGGUGGGGCCGUUUGCAUUUUAAAAAGACUUCUCUUCUAAAUAGCGUGGCUCUCACUGGAAGUUGCAGUAUGAUCCAGAGUGCUCUCUUGUUUCCGUGUUCCCUCCUACCCCAGUUCCCUCUUACCCCAGUGCCCCUUACCCCAGUGCCCCACAUGAUCACAUUCAAUUUCAUGGCCAUAGCAAAUUGUCAGAGCAUAGUAAAUUGCCUUUCUGACAUUCUGGGCCCCUUCAGCAGGAUUUUACUUUAUUUUCUUAAACAGCCUAUAACUUUUAUCACACAUUAAGAUUAGCAACUGCCACUAUCUGUGACGGGAGAGUCUCCCAUGAUUACACCAGAAGUCCCUGGGUUCAUCUCCCCCAUUCCUGGUGAUAAUUGCUAUGUCACGAGGUCGAACAAUGUGUAAGCUUCAAGACUGGCCUCCUAGUACUAGCUUUUCAGACAAAGCCUUGGCAUGGAACCCAGGUUGGCCUCAAAUUCCUGAUUUCCUGCUUCAGCCUCCAGAACAUUGAGGUCACAGGUGUGUGCCACCACACCAGGCUCCAUCUGCCUUCGUUUCUUCCACAUCAUCCCUUUUGGUCAGUGAAUAGUAUUCCAGUGUAUGGAUAUAACACAGUCUGUCCAUUCACUGGUUGAAGAACACCAGCUGUAGACUACACUGGCUGCUGAGAUUCAUACGCAUGAGGUGCUAAUGCAUAUUCAUGGACAGGAUUAUGUGAGCAUCUACAGUUAACAGACAAGGUUAUCAGAGACAAAAGAGAUGAUGGACAGGCCAUCAAGUAAUGUGGACACAGCUGAACUGAGAACUGAACACGGAUACAAACUCUAGAGUCCAUGUCUGCCCAAUUAUGUCUAUGAUGGAAAAUCUUGUAGCUAAAAAAAAAAAAAAAAAACAUUAAAACCUCUUGAGCCUGAGCA
rnacentral:lncRNA from 1 species